AGGCAAGGGCAGUUGGGAAACUCUAACAGAUGAGUGGGGGAGUCUGAUCUUGGCUUCUGACUGAGCAGGAGCUCCCAGGCAACAUUCCUGGAAGACCGGAUAUUCCCAUAGACAUGUUUCCCAAUAUCUUAGAGAAACCAUUCAGCCCUGAACCAUCUUGUUUUCUAUACUGAGGGGGAUCUGUGUGAAAGAUCCUGGGUUGGCCUUCAUUGAUCUUUCUCUGACCAGAAGGGACUCUGUGUGUGUGGGGGUGUUAGACAUUCAUUUAGAGGCCAACUCAAAGUACAUAGUUCAGAGAAAUGAUUUGCUCUGAUCUUCAAUAAUUUUUAAUGUGGCACUAAAGAGAGAAGAAUACCAUGGGCAAAGCAGAUUUCCAGGUUAUUUUCAAUGGAGAAGACUUGACUAAAUUUAGAGAAGUGCAAAAUUUAUCACUAAAAGGUGGGUUUAUGUUUUCAUCAAGAUUAUUGAAGAUCACAACAACUCAUGAAAAUCUUCAACUAAGUUUUAGAGGAAGUACCAUACUUUGAUGGAUCCUGGAAUCACUGAAUGAAUAAUGGACACAAACAAGGUUGCAAUUUCUGUAUAACAUACAGUGCAGAAUAUAUUUUAUUUGGUCUCAAGAAGUUUUCCUCCCAAGGGUUACAACCUUAGCUAAUGCAGACUAAUUAUUAUUUCCCCCCAUCCUUGGUAAUUGAUAUAGGGUUGGAUUGAGAACUACUUGAACCUUAAUUUCAUUUCACUUUGAAAAUGUCUUUAAUGGGCUGGAAUUUAAUAAAGACAUUGGAAAAGUUGAAACA
rnacentral:lncRNA from 1 species